AAGCUACAGUGUUUAUCUGUGAUCACGUUUAUUUAAUACGAACGAUUGUAUUUUCUCGCAAGUUCAAUUCUUAAAGCCCAUUUCUCCAAACAAAUAGGUCUGAAUCCCGAGUAUAAAGUGAUACAGCACUGACAGCACCAAGCUUCGUGUGUAUAUUGUAUAUGUAUUAUCGCACAAUCGCCGCAUUUACACUUGUGAAAUAUGAUACAGGUGAGGGUUUGAUGUGACUGAUGCCGUAUCAAAAAUAUAUCAGCCAAAGAUACUUAUUUUACGCCAUUAAAAUGUUAAAUAAAUCUAUGUUUACGCUCACCAUGAUUUAAUAUCGUCAAGGCUGUCUAAUCUUCGUUCUAGCAUCUCGUUUUGUUCCUUGUGUUCCGCAUAGUUUUAAAUAUCGCGCGUAGCUUUUAUCGCGCGUAGCAUUCUUGGCUCGCUAGCGGGUCAUCGGCAUAAAGACAAUAUGCAUCAUAAUCGCCUAAAAUUUCGCUAUCAACUGCUUCUAUAUGAGGUGUGAUAUCCGCCAAAAUUCAUAUAUUCAAUUAUGCAAUUGGAAAUUGCAUUUAUGAAGUUCAGUUAUGCUAUUAUGAUAUUCGAUAUUAUGUUAUUCGAAUUUCAUUCGGCGUGAAACAGUCAUUACUGAAAUUUCAUUCGGCGUGAAACAGUCAUUAUUGAAAUUUCAUUCGGCG
rnacentral:lncRNA from 1 species